AGAGUUUGAUUAUGGCUCAGAUUGAACGCUGGCGGCAUGCCUUACACAUGCAAGUCGAACGGCAGCACGGGAGCAAUCCUGGUGGCGAGUGGCGAACGGGUGAGUAAUACAUCGGAACGUGCCCAGUUGUGGGGGAUAGCCCGGCGAAAGCCGGAUUAAUACCGCAUACGACCUACGGGUGAAAGCGGGGGAUCGCAAGACCUCGCGCUAUUGGAGCGGCCGAUGUCGGAUUAGCUAGUUGGUGGGGUAAAGGCCUACCAAGGCUACGAUCCGUAGCUGGUCUGAGAGGACGACCAGCCACACUGGGACUGAGACACGGCCCAGACUCCUACGGGAGGCAGCAGUGGGGAAUUUUGGACAAUGGGCGCAAGCCUGAUCCAGCCAUGCCGCGUGCGGGAAGAAGGCCUUCGGGUUGUAAACCGCUUUUGUCAGGGAAGAAACGGUCUGAACUAAUACUUCAGACUAAUGACGGUACCUGAAGAAUAAGCACCGGCUAACUACGUGCCAGCAGCCGCGGUAAU
rnacentral:rRNA from 1 species